rnacentral:rRNA from 1 species
AUUGAACGCUGGCGGCAUGCCUUACACAUGCAAGUCGAACGGCAGCACGGGCUUCGGUCUGGUGGCGAGUGGCGAACGGGUGAGUAAAGCAUCGGAACGUACCCGGAAGUGGGGGAUAACGUAGCGAAAGUUACGCUAAUACCGCAUAUUCUGUGCGCAGGAAAGAGGGGGAUCUUCGGACCUCUUGCUUUCGGAGCGGCCGAUGUCAGAUUAGCUAGUUGGUGGGGUAAAGGCCUACCAAGGCGACGAUCUGUAGCGGGUCUGAGAGGAUGAUCCGCCACACUGGGACUGAGACACGGCCCAGACUCCUACGGGAGGCAGCAGUGGGGAAUUUUGGACAAUGGGCGCAAGCCUGAUCCAGCCAUGCCGCGUGAGUGAAGAAGGCCUUCGGGUUGUAAAGCUCUUUCGGCCGGGAAGAAAUCGCACCAGUUAAUACCUGGUGUGGAUGACGGUACCGGAAUAAGAAGCACCGGCUAACUACGUGCCAGCCGCCGCAGUAACAC